AUCCUAUCGUGACAAAAGGGCGACAACCAACAGGUGAUAGCCGAUGAUGGGGCUGCCUCCAUCUUUGGCUGGAGGCUCCCAUUCAACCACCAUGCUGUACUUUGUCACUGCGGACGCAAAGGGGGUGCCAGGAGCAGUGGGCACACUAAAAGGAUAUUGUGCAGUUACAAGAGGAGAGGGCCGGGUUGAACUUUAGGGUUGUGUUCUCCGUUCUCUGCAGAAGUGGCAUGCUGACCUGGUGUGAGAAAAGAAAAGCAUCAAACAAGUACAACAUUAGAACAUUAAAUCACUGUGCAGACUCAGACUAAUUAUACAAAAUGUAUAUGGUACUUAGUAAGCCAAAUCAAUCUAUGUGACUAUCUGACCAUUAAAAUAUGGAUACAGUAUUUAAUUUGCUUUCAAUGUAUUAUAAUUUAUUGUGUAUUCUGAAAAUUUGGCUUCCCAGAAAAAAAAAUUAUGACAUACUGUAUAUUAAGUAGGUCAUAACAAGAUAUGCCUUAGGUCAAUUCUUAAUAAUGUUUGAGACUAUUAUAGAAUGUCAUAAAACUGCUUGAAUUACUUUUAAUAUAGGCCUAUCUGAGCACAAAUUUUAUUCUAGACCUUUGGUAACAAUAUAUGUGACAAAUUAAUCCAAGCUCAAAGGUCUACAUACUAACUAGACCUAGUAUCUCUAGCUAGUAUCUCACAGUAAUAACACCACCAGGAGCAGUUUGAAGCUCCAGAAAGUUAAUAAGUAGAUGUUUGAAUUUAGAUUAUUUUUGUUACACUUUAUUAUGAAUCUUAUAUUAUUUGUUCCACACAUGUAUGUUUAUUGCAUUUAUCUUUUAUUUUUUAUAACUGUUUAAAUGUGAUUUAAUUUAAAUUUAAAUUUAAAGGAAUGUAUUAAUAUUCACUAUCUAGACUACACAGUGAUAGGAUGAAUGCAUGACAUACCUUGG